AGAGUUUGAUCCUGGCUCAGGAUGAACGCUGGCGGCGUGCCUAAUACAUGCAAGUCGAGCGAACGGACGAGAAGCUUGCUUCUCUGAUGUUAGCGGCGGACGGGUGAGUAACACGUGGAUAACCUACCUAUAAGACUGGGAUAACUUCGGGAAACCGGAGCUAAUACCGGAUAAUAUUUUGAACCGCAUGGUUCAAAAGUGAAAGACGGUCUUGCUGUCACUUAUAGAUGGAUCCGCGCUGCAUUAGCUAGUUGGUAAGGUAACGGCUUACCAAGGCAACGAUGCAUAGCCGACCUGAGAGGGUGAUCGGCCACACUGGAACUGAGACACGGUCCAGACUCCUACGGGAGGCAGCAGUAGGGAAUCUUCCGCAAUGGGCGAAAGCCUGACGGAGCAACGCCGCGUGAGUGAUGAAGGUCUUCGGAUCGUAAAACUCUGUUAUUAGGGAAGAACAUAUGUGUAAGUAACUGUGCACAUCUUGACGGUACCUAAUCAGAAAGCCACGGCUAACUACGUGCCAGCAGCCGCGGUAAUACGUAGGUGGCAAGCGUUAUCCGGAAUUAUUGGGCGUAAAGCGCGCGUAGGCGGUUUUUUAAGUCUGAUGUGAAAGCCCACGGCUCAACCGUGGAGGGUCAUUGGAAACUGGAAAACUUGAGUGCAGAAGAGGAAAGUGGAAUUCCAUGUGUAGCGGUGAAAUGCGCAGAGAUAUGGAGGAACACCAGUGGCGAAGGCGACUUUCUGGUCUGUAACUGACGCUGAUGUGCGAAAGCGUGGGGAUCAAACAGGAUUAGAUACCCUGGUAGUCCACGCCGUAAACGAUGAGUGCUAAGUGUUAGGGGGUUUCCGCCCCUUAGUGCUGCAGCUAACGCAUUAAGCACUCCGCCUGGGGAGUACGACCGCAAGGUUGAAACUCAAAGGAAUUGACGGGGACCCGCACAAGCGGUGGAGCAUGUGGUUUAAUUCGAAGCAACGCGAAGAACCUUACCAAAUCUUGACAUUCUUUGACAACUCUAGAGAUAGAGCCUUCCCCUUCGGGGGACAAAGUGACAGGUGGUGCAUGGUUGUCGUCAGCUCGUGUCGUGAGAUGUUGGGUUAAGUCCCGCAACGAGCGCAACCCUUAAGCUUAGUUGCCAUCAUUAAGUUGGGCACUCUAAGAUGACUGCCGGUGACAAACCGGAGGAAGGUGGGGAUGACGUCAAAUCAUCAUGCCCCUUAUGAUUUGGGCUACACACGUGCUACAAUGGACAAUACAAAGGG
rnacentral:rRNA from 1 species